ensembl:lncRNA
UGCUGUAUGUUUAGACAGGCAGCACUGGCUUUCAGAUCUCCCCUGUACCUGGGUCUAAAGUUCAGAGACGUUCUGAGUUACAGAUUAAGUUACCUCCCAAAGUUCCAGAACACAGGUUUAAAACCAAUAGCCACCGUACCAUUCUGGAAGACAAUGUCUGAAGGCCUCCGUGAGCUGCUUCAGUUACAGCAAGAGCUGCUCACAAACCAGCAGAACAGUUAAAAUGUUUCCGGCCGUGGUUGCCUUCGUGGGAUCGGAGCGGCAGCCUUAAGCCUGAGGUUCACCUGGGACUCUGCCAGAGGGGGAGAGGCCACAGUGCUUUAAUGCUGAAUUCACCAGCCCUACUGGCCUGUGACCCAGAAUAUCUCUGAUUUAUACCUGAGCAGUGCUGAAUGUUGUGGUACUGAAAAAGGAACCAUUUGCGUGUCAGCAUUAAAACCAAUCUGACGGACUGCGGAAGCAGAGUGGUAAUGUGUACAAAGGGCUGCUGUUGGAAAGAAACCUUUUCUCCUAAAUGCCAUGUUUAUUUCUUCUGGUGCUGCAGCUGGGGCUUAAGCUACAGAAUAGCACACGUGUUUGAUGCUGAAGGAAACAGUUCUGCGUUUUCCCUGUCUUCUCUCAAUGCUGCUGCCCUGUAAUAGUUUCUUAUUAUUCACCCUAACGUUCACGAGAAGUGCUGAUAUUACCAGAAAAUUCAGUGACAGGGAAAAGUUUGCAUAAACUUAAUGCAUGGUUUGAAUAACAUCAUUAGUAAGAUACUGAAAGCAUGAGGCAACAAAAGCAAUUAUGCAUAUUCUGCAAAACUGUAGUUUUUCUUUAAAGAACUGACAGACAAUAACCAAAAAGCUGAUCUUGUUCAGUCCACGGGAACAGAUCUUCCCACAGACAAGAACUUGCUAUAUAUGCUGCUUCAGAAUAUACAAGUAAAGAAGGAAUCUCAGCUAUAAAAAGGUCUACCAUAGGUAAAUAGCCACUUUAUAGGGGAUCCUUCAUAUAGAAAGAAAGGAGUUUUUGAGAAUUGCUGAGUUUUUAGGCACCUAUCACCAAAAAGGUCAUUGAGUUCUUUUUGCUCUACAGCCAGUCUGAUGUGUGGAUUUAAUCAUGUCUGGAGCCAACAGUUAGCCUGAAAUUACUUUAAGGAAUGUACAUUUUUUCAUCUUGAGUUGCUCUGGUUCAAGAACAUCUGGCUCCUUCAGGAUUUGCAUCUUAUCUCCUGCCUCCGCUCCACUGCUGCAGUAUCAGCUUCUGUUGCUGCCUCCACCACAAUGUUCUGUUUCCUUUCAAGUCUUCUGCAUCUUCCAUCCUCUGCCAAGCAUUUGUUGAAUUUGACCACAGGGCAGCCGGACUGGAGGGGCCUGUGGAGACCGGUGGUCCCAGCUUGUGUUAAAUGUCAGCCUAUAGAUAAGGUUCUCUGGGUCUUCAUCUAGCCAAGGCUGCUGCCUCCUUUCCCUUAGGCCCUUGUGCAAUACCCUCCACUCCCCCUCACGUCCCUUUUGGUCCCUCAAAAACUUGCACCAGUAUUUACCACCCACCCUGCCAUGGACUACAGCCAGUCAGUCUUGUGGCCGGUGAGCCCAAUGCUAGCCAGGCCAACAGCUCACUCAGGAUGGAAAAUGGAAGGGAAAUAUGGCACUACUCUCUGUCAGCACUGAUGACGUUUUCCUUCUCCCUACACUUGCUGUUUUACGUGCAAUGUGUGUGAAACCUCACUGUCUCUGGGAACUAUACCUCUGUCAGAUGUGGCUGAACCUGGCUCAAAAGCAGCCAGGACUACACUGGCAGACAGGCGGUGUGAUCGCAGCAGCUAUACACUUAUUCCCUAAGGCUCUUGUCUGCUGCUUUGAGUGCAUCACUGUAACGUGCUGAGGUGCUCGGGUGUGCUGUGCUGGUGUGAGGGCAAAAGCAAGCCUGGAGUAUUGGCCUAUGGUCCCCUUCUAGCUAUCCAGUUCCUGGGGGGUUUAAAUGACAAAACACUGUCUCUUUCUGCAGACAGAGCCAAACCUGAACAUGAGGAUGGGAAGCUUUCCAGCACAGGCUGUCUGCAGUCUGUGCUCUGCACAGUGGGAGGAGAGCUCUCUCUUCGUGUCUCGAUGCUAACAAAAUAAACGUAAUUGUUAUUAAUGGUGAUUACUUGUAAUGGAGCUCUGUGGAGCGCAAUGAUACAAAUGUUCCCAUUAUGGUGGUUUCACAUAAACAGCAACUGCUGGCAAGCCUCCUAAUGUUUCUUUAUUAACUUUCAGACUUCUGAUGAUGCACAUAUUGUCUUCACAAACACAGUACGAAGUAAUUUCUCGACUGUGCUCGCAAGAACCUUUAUCAGUACAAUAUUUGUUUGCCAAUAAUCUUCUAGUUACGUGGAAUAAGGGCCUAAUGGGGAGAACAAGAUCGCUGUUGACAUCAGGUAAUUUUUUUCCUAAGUGGUGCUAUUGGACCGUUCUGCUUAAAGAUUUCCAAGGAGAGCCAGCCAAGUGAAGUCUAGUGAUAUUUCUGACCAAAGAGUGCCGUUCCAGCUGAGCCCAUCUGGAUCUACCUGUCCAUCACCCAUGGACAGCUGACGUUGUCCAGGGCAGACACAGGGUUUUCAGGCUUGGACUGUCUCAGUCCCACAUCUGCUGUCUGACUCUACCCUGCACCUCCUGUCUGGCUUUGAGCAAAUGGCUUCAUCUUGCUGUGCAUCAUCUGUGGUAAUGAGGAGCAAGGCUAACAGGGUUUGCUUCGGUCUGUUUCAGACUGUAAGAUUUCUCUAUUGCUUUACGUACUUCUGAUGCUUACUUAGCGCGAUGAGGUUUUAACUUCCAUUGUGGCCUCUAUUUAGGCCACAAAUUUUCUGUAAAUCUUCCAGGAUCCUGUAGAUCAAAGUCUCACAGUCAGAGAGUUCUUGAAUUGCUGCAGGGAGCAUGAUGAACACUGGACAGACGCAUCCCCUCAGGGGAGGACAGACAAGUCCUAAGCCGGCCAUAAAGGCUCCUCCUCAUGAACUGAGUAGAAUUGGGCUUUUAAUUUAUGGCUUUGCUGAAUGGGGCUCUGGAACAAACUCAGCUUCAUGUAUCAUCUGGCAAAUGAAAACAACAGAAGCACAGUGAGUCUGGCACUAUCGUUGUUCAGAAAAUAUGUUGGUUCUUGUGACUUUAAAAACAAUAAUUUUGUUUAUUUAAAGUAAGAGGCUCUUCAGCCACCCAAGAAACAAAAUCAGAAUUUAAAUGUAUAGUAUUCAGGUAUGGAACAAACAAUGUUAUAGUUCAUACACACUUCUUGUAGUCCAUUCAAUCUGAAAUGUUCAUAGAACGAUUACGAUAAACACAGAAGAUGGGAAUUUUCGUAUCUCAUUAGUUGUAUCUCAUUGGUCUGUAUCUCAUUGUUGGUAUCAGAAGAUCCAAAGUUUGAGGAUACGUGGACUACUGUACCCUUUUUGAGUAUGGAAGAGGAUGUUUUUGUCAAAAUCAAUUUGGUGUCUUCUGUGACUAAUUCUUUUCUCAAAUACUUUUGAGGUGAGGACUGGUGCCAAACAGCUGACACAGCCAGUGUGUUUCCCCAUGAAUUUAAGAGAGCUCUCACUGAUAUUUAGCCAGUAUUUAAGGGAAGAGGGUCAGACAUUAUAAUGAAGGGAUAAUGUCAGUAGUAGCCAAAACUAGUUGCAGAACUGAAAUGAGUUGGUUUAGCCGCUCUCCAAACUGAAUUUGAAGGUAACGUGUUGUAAAGAACAGUCAUAUUUUAAAAUGUGUUUUUUUUUUGUUCAGAAUUUGAGAUUGCAUUACAAUAAUUGCCAGCUAAAGCAGGUAGGAUAUAAAACUUAGAACAUGUUAAGUAAAUACAGAUUUGCACUGCGUAAGGGUGGAUUUGUAUAAACGUAUGUUUGCGCUCCAUAAGUCAGCACAAAACACCAAGUUCUAAAAGGGGCUUGCAAUUCAUCUCUGCCAAUUAGUAAAAUGAGGAUUGGUACUAAUUUAAAUACAUUGCCUUUCCACUGAUGAUAAUUUGAGCGGAAACACCAAGCAAUGUGUUUAUCUGCCAGUAAUGGAUGGAACGUCAAGAAGCGGAUGAGCAAUAGUUGGUGCUGCAGACUGCAGGGACGUGGGCUGUUGUUUGACUAUCAGCUGCUUUUGCUCCAGGUUAAGAUAUUGCUGUCUCCCAGCUGUUCACGCUUAUUCUUCUCCAAAACCUUCUCUCUGCUGGUUUACCAGCUCAGCUCAGACCUCUGGGUUAAAAAAAGAAAUAAAAUGUUUUAAAUAGCAGCGGGUCUUAAUUUGGACCAGGGUGCAGAAGCAGGUUACUGACUGAUGAGCCAAACAGGUAAGCUAGCAGAAGCUGUUCCCCACGACAGACGUAUUUACAUAUGCCCUUUCCCUUAGGGGCUGUAACUGAAUGCAUGUAGUCCUUAAUGGAACUUCUUGGUGGCUGCACUCAAAUUAUUUGCAUUCCAGUAAUUUUCGGAUGGCCUGUCUUGCAGUUUUAUUGUUGAACCUUUUAACAUGCUGAUCAUCACAGCUUUCACUUUAGCGGAUGAUUUUGAAUGUGCAGAAAAGCUAACAUAGGUAGAGGCUGGACACAAAACAAAAUAAGAAAAAAAAGAAAGAAGUUGAACAUUCCAGACAGUGAAAAACUUAUUCUGGGAGGAAAAUUUGUUUGAAAUAGACAGAGUUGCUCUUUCCUGCCCCCCUCCAGAUAUGUUGUAUUUCAUUAAGAAUGCUAAAAAAAUAAAACCUGAAAUAUAAAACAUUUUGAUUAAAGAUGGCACCAUGUUUCCUGGAGUUACUUUUUGUUCCAAUUCUCUGUAAUCGAAAUCUCCUGGCUAACAGAAAUCUGAAAAAAGAAGAAAUGUUUAAAUAGUAAUAGGAAAAUUUGAAGUAGAUAUUUAAAGAUGAUGUGCAAAUUGAGGCUUUCUACAGCGAAAAGGUGUGAAUGCCUUUUUCUAAACAGCCUUCUGAGUAAGAAGUUACUUUAUUAACAAAAAAUCAGCAAACUCUCACUCACUCCUACUUUUCUCAAUCUGAUUUUGGUUCCUUUAGUUCUAAUUUUGAUUAUUUUGUGGGAUGAACAAAUAUCAAGUCUAGUCACUGGAUCCUAUUCAGUUAAAUCUCUUCAAUGUCAGAUAGAAUCAGUUCCACAGUAAAAGUUUUGUGGCCUGUGGAUCCUGUUGUGCCAUACCUUUUGUUUUAUAUAGUUGACAAGUUGUCAAGGAUGAAACACUCUGUAUUAAUGAAUAGAGAAGGAGCAGAAGCAGUGUUUAGGAUCCAGAUGUCCAGAUUUGUUGGUGCCCCUUACAACUACAUUUUUCUACGCAGCAAAGUUCAUAUGUGUCACAAUACUGCAACUGUCUGCAAACCCAUGUGAUCUUUGCAUGUGAUCAUAGAAUCAUAGAAUCGCUAAGGUUGGAAAAGACCCACAGGAUCAUCCAAUCCAACCAUUCACCCAUCACCAAUGGUUCUCGCUAAACCAUGUCCCUCAACACAAUAUCCAAAUGCUCUUUGAACACCUCCAGGGUUGGUAAUGUGAAGAUAAAGAUGAAAUUAUGUUACUGCUGACCUUAUAAGUCAAGGGCAUGUUCCUCACAUAGGAGUUUCUGAAUCCCAUUGGUCACCACUGAACUGGUGUGUAGCCCUGAACAAGGCAUUCAACCACAAAGCCCUAGCGUCCCCAUUUUCAAGAAUAAUAAUUCCUACUGCAAACCUAUGCAGUGACUCCUUAGAAAUGCAAACAAGGAGCAAUAGCAAUGGUUUUUGUUUUAGCCUUACAUUUAUAGUUAUGUAUCAAAUUAUUUAACCACGAUCAAACAGGCAAAAGUCCCACUGAAAUCUAUUUGUGUCUUGUUUACAUUAUUUGGACUGAUACUUAAUAUUAUUUUUAGAGCCACAUGUCCACAGCAUGCCAUGCAUAGAAAAAAAAGGUCUGUACUGAUGGUAGGUUACAUCUUAAAUUAUACAUCUGUAGUCCCAAAGGAAAACAAACAGCAAAGAAUUUGUCUUUCUCUGAUCAGACAAUGUAAUGUGGUACCGGAAAGCACAGACCAGUACUUGCUUGUUGAGUUCCAACUGGGUGACAUUUACAAGCAUUCAGCUAAUGAGCUAUGGGUUCUUGAAACAGGAGUUUUCUAAUAGGAGCAAUAUAAUAUUCCAUGCAGAAGAACAGAUUCCUUUCAAGUAUAAAAGCAGAGAUAAGAUUUAUUAGUCAAGGCACAGAAAGGAAUGUUCUGUAGAUUGGAACAUAAAAUGCUAUAUGAUAUUUUCAGCGUUUGUGAGAUAUUAUGACCCAAAAUACAAUAUACAUUUUUACUGGUUUCUGGUGGUAGAAGUUUAGACAUUAAUGGCAGCUGCCUCAUGACAGCAAGGUUUUAUGAGCCAGUUUUUGUUGUUUUUUUUUUAAAGAGAAAUACAAAAUGUCAGUAUGCUGGGUCUGAAAGUCACAAGAUUGUAAAUGUACUCAACAAGAAAAAUCUGACAAAAACUGUACUAGGGAUUGCUUCUCAUUCUGCUUAUAAAUGUCUUUUAUUGCCUCAGACUUUGUUAUGUAAGCUAUCCACUCAACAGCAUGGACUUCCUUUGAAAAGACAAAGCACAAAACCUUCAAUAACAUGUGAUCAUAUUACAUCACUGUUUAGUUUACCUUGUGAUUCAAAAACUUGGCAAUUCAACAUUACCAGGUUUUAAUGGAAUACAUUCAAGGGCAUAAAUAAGUCACUUAUCAUUGCUUCUGCUUCAUCUGUUUUUCCUGAUAGGACCUACCCUAAUCCAAUUCAGCACUGGGGUAAGGAAGGAUGCUAUGGCACCAUAGCAAGGAGGGCAUAUUCCAUAGUGACCACUACUAAGGUAAGACUCAAAGAUUCCUCAGCUUUUCCUACAGGAUUUAUCCGAAGACCCAUUCUUGAUGUCAUCAUAGUGAGUUAUCCAGUAGCAGUCAUCUUAAAGGGACUUGAAUCUCCUUUCAUUCGUAUUAGUAUAAAUAAAUGAUAGCCGCGUUGCAUGUACAAAUGAGUAGAAUUUAUGGGAGACAGAAAAAAAAACUUUAAAAUGUAUGGCCAGUGUUGCCUCUUUUUCAAAAUAUGCAGCCUAAUGUGGUCAACGUUUGUAGCUGACUCCAUUAUCUCUUUGUGGAGUAAAGCAGAUUUUUGCCAUGCUGAUUUUUUUUGUUUUGCUUUGGAACAAAGUGGCAUUGAGGUCUUAGUCUAAUGUAUGGGCACAGGCCUUCUUCAGUCUUACCCAGUUGUCAGUGCUUGCAAUAUCUUAGGUCCAGAAGAUGCAGUAUCUCGCUUAAAGGAAAGAAAAUGGCCUGCUGUAGGAAAUCUUACAGCUAUAAAGGAAGUCCUAUGCCCAUUGAUUAAUUCUGUAGACCUUUUUCUUUGCUACUGUGCAAUGUCUUUAACUGGACAGUUCCAAACCUCCAGAAUUUGUGUUUAUGAAGGAGAAGGGAUAGUUAGAGCCCUAGUAACUCCCCUGCACAGCUGUGACUGGAGGGAAUUAUGGGCUGAGAGCCCAACCAAUGAAGCAAAGUUUUAUUUUUGUCUCUGCAGCUGACCUGGAUGUCCAGUCCUGGGUAUGUUGCAAGGGUGUGAAAGGGGUAGAAUUUCUGAAUCCUGAUAUGUUUUAUUGUGGAUAGUGAAAGUUCUUCCUUAAUCCUCAGUCUUGUUUUUGAAAUUGACUCUUUUUGAGAACUGGGUAUCUCUGUACUAGGACAAUGCCAUGAACAUCAAGGUCUUUCCCCAGAUGACUGAGCACUUUGGGAAUUCCCUACCCUGAUCCAAGCAAGAUGCUAAGAGAUUCACUGGCAUUGCUCAGUGGAGUUCCCCGGCAUCAUUCUCAAGAACUGGAUCACUAUGUAUGAAGCUUUGUUCUUGGAAAAAGGGAGUGUGCAGGAUGCCAAAUUUGAUCUGUGAUUACAGGCAGAAACAUUUAAUAUGAAUAAUUGCUCUAUCUUCUAUUUGCAGAGAGUAUUGUUUGAGCCAGCUUGUUCAGAAAGAAAGAGUGGAAAAGAGGGAAAUUACUACUGAAUGCCAAAUCUACAAAUAACAGUAACAGAUACAGUACCGGAUCAAUAGCCCUGCAUCUCUCUUUGCAGGGCCAGAAUUGCUUCUGAUCUGUCUGCUCACAGCAGAACUGUUCCAGUUUUGUCAUGAAGAGCAAAGCUUGUACUAAUCAUACUCUGUAAUAGCCACAGCGGUUGUCCCUGGGUCUGCCAUUCACCAAAAUUUAAUCUUGAUUGCUGAGAAUUUUCAUUGCGUGUAGAAAGUUGUUCCACAUGAGAGCAAGCACUGACAAACAAAACAAAACAAACAAAAAAAACCCCUAUACUUCUUUAUAAUAUAUAUUAAUAAAUAUGUGUGUGUGUGUGUGUAUACAUGCUAAAGUAUCUUCUAGUAUAUCUUUUAGCACCCUAAUAUUUCAUAGUCUAAUACAUAGCAGUAACCUUUCCCAUACAGGAUGUGACCAGCAAAUGUAUUGGCGUUGCUGCUAAGAGCUCUGAAAUGUAACUGCAGUUGGAAGAGUUUGUAAAAACCCCAUGGUAUGAAACAAAAAUUUUCAGGCUUAAGCCCCAUAAAUUUCUUUCGUUGUUCUUUUUGCUGAGUGUACCCACCUAUAUGACUGACAGUAUAUGUGAUUAGGAGUUAAUUCUCAGACAUAAUGUUCAUAUCUCUUUGUGAAUGGUACUGAGUUCUUACAAAUCUUUUGAUUUGGAGAGGGAGAAAAUGAACUAUGGUGUAGCUAUACCCAUGCAAGUUGCUGCAGGCUGUCUGCAGGCUCAGGCCACUGCUGUCCUCAAAUGACUUUGAACCAGCCUGUCUACAAAAACAAAGUUAGUGUUCCACUGCAAGUCCUCUCAGUAGCAGAUACUCCUGCUUUGGCUUCAGGACAAGUUGCGUCUUGUGUCUCUGGUGUACAUGAUGUAUUGGUUUGCAUACAUAGGUGUUAGAGCUCUUUCUUGAAAAAAAAAAAUAGCUCCUCUGUAGGGCCUCACAGAGCUCUGUGGUAACCUUCUGGUGACCUUUUGUUUCUAAACAAGUGUUUUUGUGUAUGGAUGCAGUUUUUUUUUUUUUUUUAAGAAGCAUAUGCAAGUCUGAUGAUUUGCAAUUUCUUUUAUUAGCCUUGUACUAACCAUGACGGAAUGACCGGAAAUAAAGGACAUACAGUUCACACUGUAUCUUAUAGUUCCAUUAAGUAGACAAUGGGGAAGCAAUUUGAAGUAAGUGAUUUGUAAGGCAGUUAAUUUAAAACAUAAUUUCUUAGACAGCUUGGUGAAAUUCACCAGUAUGUUUUUAAAGAAAAAAAACAAACAUCAACAGCAACAAAAAUACAACUUGAUGAUGCUUUGAAGUUUGGUUCUUACCACAGUUUGAGUAGAUUAAAAUUUAAAUCUACUGUAAUCCCAAAAACUUGAGUGUAUUUGUGCACAUGUUGUGAAGGGGCAUGAUUUCUUUACGUGUGUACUCUUAUGGAUUAGCAUGUACAGGCACAACCCAGCCCGAUGUUCCUGUGUGACUAAUGAGUAUAGCCUCCUGACCUGUUUCAAUGACUGGGAGCUACCAGGCCUUCCUGUGCACAAACCAUGAUCAAAACUGAAGCUACAAGUUUGUGAUGCAUUUGGUUGACAGCUUACUGGUAGAGCAACCAGCUCUAAUUGCAUUCCGGUUACUCCUGAGUGCUCCUUUUCAAUCUAUCUAUCACGAUGCUGCCAAAGACAGAAAUAAGCUACAGAACUGCACAACGGCAGCAGUAUGUAUUUGAUAUUCUGACCCUUGCUUCCCCUUGCAGCCCUCCAUGGUACUCCCAAGUUCAAUCACCUGAUGUAGCACUUGAUCCUUAGCUCCUUUCCCCCACAGAUAAACACUGAAGCGGUAAUUCCUGCUGCAGGAAUGUUCUUUCAUAAAUGCUUUUGAAGUGAGGAAACCUGAUCUCUUUUAAGAUAAUAUAUUAUUAGUUAGAUUUCAUUGGAAGAGGAUCCUCUAUAAACCCUGCCUAUUGUUUUCUCUCCAGACUAAAAGUUCAGUCAACUGAAACCUCAGUCCUUGGGAGUGCUGGUGAUACUUUUAAUCAUAAGUGGAAUAUUUAGAAAACUUUUCUUUCGUCUAAUAAGACCAUCCCCUUCUCUGUCAGCUCAGCUGACUUAUGACACUUUCACAACUUGGAAAUAGCCUCAUGAUCUGCUGAUUUCUCUGUCAUGUCUUCCAGUAUUUGGUCUAAAUUAUCACUAGAUUAAUUAUCACUAAAUUAUCACUAUCACAAGAAAAUCUAACUAAAGCUUAUUUUGCUGAAGUCUGUGGUUUUUACUUUCAUAUAAAGUUGAAGGUGUCAGAACUAAUGUUUUUGAUGGUUCAGUAUUUACUUUAGUCCUGACCCAUGUAGUUCAUUAAGACUAGCUGAAAUAUAAAUGCUAUAGUUUACUGCAGCUAUAGUGUGGUUUUUUGAAUUUUUUUUUAACCUAUAAGAAAGGUAUCUAACUAUCAACAGACAGUUUUCGCAUUUGUUUUGAUCAAGAAGAGUUUCCAUGCAAUAACAUUAUUUUUUUGCCCCGUGAAAAACUAUUGACCUGUUCUGUCUUGCUACUCCAUAGGUCUAUGGUCAACAAAGGGAGUACAGUUGGACUGAUUAAAACUAUACUGACUGAUUACAACUAUACUAACUAUACUAUAAAAGUAUACUGAAGGUAUUUAUAUCCCAGUACCUGGGCCGGAGCAUCAAACAUUCCCCCAGAACAUAUGCAGUACCCACCCACCACAACUUCUAUGGUUGUAACCGGGUAGGCGGGCAAUUAUGCUGAAAUUGAGACAUCUGACCCGAUGCAAAUGUGGACUAUCCUACCAUAAAAACCUUCCCAUACUGAAGAUAGAAUGAUACAGAAACAACCCUAAACACCAAAAUUCACAAUUGCAGCCGAUUCUCUUACAGAAUGUAUAGCAGAAGUUCUAAAAGCUUAAACAUGGCUACUAUCAAAAACUUUGCAAAGGAGAAUCUGACUCCUACAUCACUGCAAGUUUAUAGGUUAUGUCUUUUUUUUAAUGACAGAAGAAGAGUCUUGUUGAAGGGGAAAGGCUUUUAGAGGAGAUGUAUAACCACAGAGAUAUUAAGUAAAGUUUCAAGUCUCCUUAUGGGCCUAAGCUGAAAACGUGAACUCAGGAGGUAUUAAAAAGAACUUCUGUUGAGGUCUCUGUUGUUUGGAAACAUUUUGCUCUCAAAUCUGUGCAGUGUAAAUUGCUUAUGAGGCUUUGUGGGCAGAUCUCAGCUGUUUAUUUUGCACACUGCUAAAUAUGAACUCUCAAGCCUUAGUAAAUCUACUUGCAAAUGUGCUUCGGAAACAUUUGUAAUUUUUUUCCUCUAAAUCUCCAUGUAAAAAGAAUUUCCAGACACAAACAACUGUCAGAGAAAAACAACUGUGAUUUGUUGGGGUGUGAAACUAGAGAGUGCCUAAAUUAUUUGCCUUUAUUAGAAAGCAUGUUGGCAAACAGACUGCACCUUUUAUGACCUCAGGAAGAAAUCUGCUUUAUUUCAUGCACAGUUAGCAGCUUACAGGAGAUAGUCUGCACAUCUCACCGACAGCUUUGGCAUUUGAUACAGGUUUUGCUUCAGACUGGGGGACAGAAGUGAAUUACACUACCACAAGAAUCAAUUUACACUUCACUCUUCUGAAAACUUCAGUGUCAGUGUCAUGUACAGAACAAUACCAGACCAGAGACAGUUGCUCAUUUUCCAUUUAUGAGCAACCAGAAUGAAGUUUCAUUCAUUUUGGACUUAAGCCAGUAGAAAAGAGCCUCUACAGUUGUUCACUGACAGUAUUCUCCAAGACUUUUUGGCUUGUGUAGGGCAAUGGUACUAAGCCAAAUGGUGAGAUUUCAAUUUGCUGGAUCCCACUGAAUGGCAGAAUGGGCUAGCUAGCUCAGGGCCUACUCACGCCUAUGCACUAAAGCAUUACAGAAGCAGCAGACUCUUCCCUGAAUAGACCAAAUGACCAGAUGAGAUUCAGCUGAGUCAUGAGGGAAGUCUAAACCACAGAAGUUCAUUCUCUUCAUUCAAAAGAGACGACUAAAAUAAAAAGGCCCCACUUCCAUCAUAGAAGCCUGGUUGCUACGCACAGUCCAUCAGAAACAAAAGCUCUACAACGCCCUAUGUAAUUAAUACUGUUGCAGCAGGUCGAUCUGUCACUCACAGAGUAUACUCCACUGUGGGGAGAAGCAGCAGCAAAGCAAACUUCAUCUGUCCCACAGAAGACAUUACCAAUAAACAGCAGCAGUUGCGAAAACCAGUGAGUGCCUACGUGGAUUUUGCCCAGCAAUUUGUAUAAUUGCCUGCUGAGCAGACGAAAUUAUUUUGCUUGGCUUCUGUGAGUCACGGAGCUGAUCCCUACCAUUUUCUGGAG